CCUCGUUCACCGCGAGGAAGCAGAUGUUAAGGAGCUUUAUGCGUUUUGCCCUCAGGGCAGAGAAGAACGGCAGGAGUUGGAGCCAUCCUACAGCCAUGGAUGGCUAGUGGGGAACUGCAGCACAGAGGAGGCAAAAUGCUAUCACAGAUACCAGAGAAGUGAUUUCACAUAGUUCCAGCCCAGCAAAGGACGUACCUUCUGGUCUCUGGGAGUAGCUCCAGGACUCUGCUCCAGUGCUCUUCUCCCCCUUAAGUACUUACAGCUUCAGCAGCUUCAAACUGCAUAGUCUAGUUCAAAGUGUGAAUGUUGUUAACCAGCCCAUAGUGUGGCAGCUCAGUCUUCCUUCAGCCAUUUAUGUUGUUCUUCCACCACCAGAGGCUUCUGAGAAUGUUCCUUUGGCUGAGCUGCCCACAUCCACUUAUAAUACUCUUGACAUGCUCCUGCUGGUACAAUUUUGUUAGAUGUUUCUCAUAUCAGUAUGAAAACACAUCUUCCAAAAUAACUUAGUAAAACAGAACCUUGGCUACCUUAAAGGUGGGCAGACUUAAAUACCCACAUUCCAAAUUCCAUCAAGAACAAUUUCUUAGUGGCUGAAUUAUUAACAGUUUUCAGUGGAAAUUCUUAAAAAAACUUCACCAUAGGUACAUAUUGUCAUUAUUAUUGCAAGCCAUUUCCUCAAAAUGUGGCAAUAUAUGCCAGCACUAAAUAGCAAAUGCAAGUCAUUAUCUGUGUUAUUUUUGGAACAAGAUAAGAUUUUUUUUGAGUGAUCCAUAGCUCCAAGCUAUCAGACGGAAACUUGGCAUUAACCUCUAUAAAGUAGUUAGUAAAUGAUACUAUAAAAUCAGUACUUAGCAGAAGAAUAGCCAGCAUUUCUAACCUGCACAGUGAUAGCACGCUUGUAAAACCACAGGAGGGGAUUCUGAGAACAAGGACCUAUGAUCUGCCGCUUAAGUCUACUGCCUAAUGUGGUUGGGUUUAUAACCAUAUUUGCUGUUUGGUUGACUAAGAUCAGUGAGGUACAAAGCCGACCUGCAGGCAAUCUACGACUCUUCACUGGAAAACUAAAGAGGCAAAAAGGAUUAACACAAAUUAAAUAAUCAGGAUAUUGGCACCCUCAG